rnacentral:lncRNA from 1 species
ACAAACAUGAAGCAACUCUCCUGGCUGACGAAAGUAUUGCAAUAAUUCAGAGAAGGAAGUGAGAAAGUAUGUGAAAUCCAGAUCAGCUCAGCAAAUGAAACCUUCAAAAGUAUCAGGCAGAUAUUGGAUAAAGAAGUAGAAGUAGCAGAAGGAUAUCAGAGCCUCUGGUCCACUUUGAACCAUCAAAGACGUGGUGGACCUCACAAUGCAAGGGCUACACAUUGGCGCUCUGAUUUGUUCUUUCCUCAGCUUGCUGUUUCUUCUAAUUUCCCUGGGCUCAGACUAUUGGUUAGAUCUCAAGAAUGUAGCACAUAAUGGUUUGUGGAAUUCCUGCCAUGCUUCUACUUGCAUUCCAUUGGGGAUGAAUGUUCCAGAUGAAAUUCAUGCCACCCGAGCGUUCUUGCUGAUGGGGAUAAUUCCUGGUUUCAUCGCUCUCCUUGGUCUUUGCAUUAUGUUUUCUUCAUUAGAACUUGGGCCAGUGUCCCAGCCGAAGACUACAGCCAUAGCCAGCUUUCUUGCAGGUACAUUGGUCCUCGUUGCCAUGGCUACAUUUACAGGAAGUAUAGGGGUGCGCAGCUUUUACGGAUGGUCUUUUGCCUUGGGCUGGGUUUCCUUUCCUCUGUUCCUGAUAACUGGAGGUUUUGCAUGGGCAUUGCACAAAACUGCAAUUCUUUGAGUGGAAAGAAACAACCACGGUGCAUUUUAAGGUAUACAGCAAGUAAUGCACAGAAGAAGUGAACCUGGAUCUGAUUUCUACAUGCUCUAAUUGCUCCUUGUGUGACAGCAAGAGAGUACAUUUGUUCUGGUUGUUUUCCCUGCAAAAGUUCUAGAAACAGUAAUGUUUAACUGUUUAGCUUUUCCAUAGCCUUGGGUUUACUUUUCUCUGUCCCUCUCACAACUCCCUCCCUUCCCUUCCCCCCAGCGUCGGAAAUAUUUGUAAAAUAAGGGAUGGAAAUGAAGUUCUCUCAUAAGUUCAAAGAUGCAUUUGUUUUAAUUUUCUUCUGUUUGCUAACCAAAAACAUGUUUGCAGAAAGGUUUGUUAUAGGAAAACACAUGGGGCA